GGUGAGGGUGAUCUGGCUGCAACAUCUGUCACCUCCAUUGGUCACCAGGCUGAUCAGGCUGGCUAGGCGGGUGUCCCCUUCCUCCCUUAACACCAUGUGUGUCCCUCCCGAAGCUGCACGCUCAGUCAAAGAGGAUGGCCUUGCCCAUAUAGAGACGGACCAGUCUUACGUUGAGGGUAUAUGAGUAGCUGCGCUCUCCUGCUAGAAUCUCCAAACAAGCCAAGUUUAUUUAAAGUCAGUCUAAAUUUUUGAUUGCCAUAGGUGUAGAUUUCAAUUCUGUUGGGUUGUCAGAAAAGUCACGAUGCAUUUUGCAUAGAAAAAUGUGAUGAUUU
rnacentral:snRNA from 1 species